rnacentral:rRNA from 1 species
AGAAUCAACGCUGGCGGCGUGCCUAACACAUGCAAGUCGAACGAGAAAGUGGAGCAAUCCAUGAGUAAAGUGGCGCACGGGUGAGUAACACGUGACUAACCUACCCUUGAGUGGGGGAUAACCUAGAGAAAUCUGGGCUAAUACCGCAUAAUACCUUCGGGCCAAAGGAGCAAUUCGCUUAAGGAGGGGGUCGCGGCCGAUUAGUUAGUUGGCGGGGUAAUGGCCCACCAAGACUGUGAUCGGUA